rnacentral:rRNA from 1 species
CAGUCGCCACGGUAAUACGAAGGGUGCAAGCGUUAAUCGGAAUUACUGGGCGUAAAGCGUGCGUAGGCGGUGAGUUAAGUCUGCUGUGAAAUCCCCGGGCUCAACCUGGGAAUGGCAGUGGAUACUGGCUCGCUAGAGUGUGUCAGAGGAUGGUGGAAUUCCCGGUGUAGCGGUGAAAUGCGUAGAGAUCGGGAGGAACAUCAGUGGCGAAGGCGGCCAUCUGGGACAACACUGACGCUGAGGCACGAAAGCGUGGGGAGCAAACAGGAUUAGAUACCCCAGUAGCCCCUGUCUCUUAUAA